rnacentral:lncRNA from 1 species
GUGCAAUGUGUUGAACAUAUAUCCCUUCGAAGCCGAGCGAACAUAGCCUAAAGUAAGAAAUUUCUGGCGCACGCGAGAUAGACGACGACUCACCUGCGUGAGAAAGCCGCAUUCGAGCAAAACCAUGCAGAAAUCCGCCAUCAUUGGAGCUCCCCUCUUUCCGCAGGCGGCGAGGCAUUCGGGGGGGUUCGGGAAAAACAUGAUGACGCAAUGAUCACCGCCUAGAUGGGGUCCGGAGCAAAAGCGAAAAGAGGAAAAGGAACAGAAAGAUUUGCAGGGCCAAGAAAUGAUCGAGCGAAGAGAACAGAGAGAAGAUAGAUAUCUUCAAGAGCCCGAAGAAGGAUCCUCCGCCCCAGUGCGGGAUCCUAAUAUAUCGCCCCGGAGCAAUACGAG